ensembl:snoRNA
AUCCUUUUGUGGUUCCUAAGUGUGAUGAUUGGGUUUACACACGUCUGUGUGAUAUGUGCCUCUGUGUGAGACAACCUUGUCAUGACAUCAGCACAUUACCCAUCUGACG